UUUCUUUCAAUUAAAUUUGUUUCUUGCUUUUGUUUCUUGACCUCUCUUUUGUGGGUGCUGGAAAUUAAUUCUCUCUUGGUGCUUAUGUGCAUGGAAUUUGACUUGGUUUAAGGUUAAGCUCUUGUGAAUAGGUGCUGGAAAUUGGAGAAUUAAAGCCAACUUUCUAAGGAGGAGUCAAAGCUAAGGCGAAACAAGCAUCUUGAAAACAAACACUACAAACACCUAGAAGAUCAACAAUCAAGACAACAAAGAAAGUGCACUAACCAAAAAGAGGAACAACAAAGGGGGUUUUCUUAUCUCCU
rnacentral:lncRNA from 1 species